CGUUAAUCGGAAUUACUGGGCGUAAAGCGCGCGUAGGCGGUUGCUUAAGUCAGAUGUGAAAGCCCCGGGCUUAACCUGGGAACUGCAUUUGAUACUGGGCGGCUAGAGUGUGGUAGAGGUGAGUGGAAUUUCAGGUGUAGCGGUGAAAUGCGUAGAGAUCUGAAGGAACAUCAGUGGCGAAGGCGACUCACUGGGCCAUUACUGACGCUGAGGUGCGAAAGCGUGGGUAGCAAACAGGAUUAGAUACCCUGGUAGUCCACGCCCUAAACGAUGUCAACUAGGUGUAUGGGAAAUUUAUUUCUUGUGUAUCGAAGCUAACGCGAUAAGUUGACCGCCUGGGGAGUACGGUCGCAAGACUAAAACUCAAAUGAAUUGACGGGGGCCCGCACAAGCGGUGGAGCAUGUGGUUUAAUUCGAUGCAACGCGAAGAACCUUACCUGGCCUUGACAUGCACGGAACUUUCCAGAGAUGGAUUGGUGCCUUCGGGAACCGUGACACAGGUGCUGCGUGGCUGUCGUCAGCUCGUGUCGUGAGAUGUUGGGUUAAGUCCCGCAACGAGCGCAACCCCUGUCCUUAGUUGCCAUCAUUAAGUUGGGCACUCUAAGGAGACUGCCGGUGACAAACCGGAGGAAGGUGGGGAUGACGUCAAGUCAUCAUGGCCCUUAUGGCCAGGGCUACACACGUGCUACAAUGGGCAGUACAAAGGGUUGCCAACUCGCGAGAGUGAGCUAAUCCCAUAAAGCUGUUCGUAGUCCGGAUCGCAGUCUGCAACUCGACUGCGUGAAGUCGGAAUCGCUAGUAAUCGCGGAUCAGAAUGCCGCGGUGAAUACGUUCCCGGGCCUUGUACACACCGCCCGUCACACCAUGGGAGUUGGCUGCAAAAGAAG
rnacentral:rRNA from 1 species